GAUAAACGCUGGCGGCGUGCCUAAUACAUGCAAGUCGAACGGAGAGCCUGUAGCAAUACGAGCUCUUAGUGGCGAAUGGGUGAGUAACGCGUUGGUGACCUGCCCCGAAGAGGGGAUAACAGCUCGAAAGGGCUGCUAAUACCUCAUGUGGUCUUCCGGAUUAGAAGCCGGAUUUCUAAAGCAGUAAUGCGCUUCGGGAGGGACCUGCGUCCCAUCAGCUAGUUGGUGAGGUAAUGGCCCACCAAGGCUACGACGGGUAGGGGACCUGAGAGGGUGGUCCCCCACACUGGCACUGAAACACGGGCCAGACACCUACGGGAGGCUG
rnacentral:rRNA from 1 species